rnacentral:misc_RNA from 1 species
GAAUAAUUACUCCAGUUUUACAGUAAAAGUUAAUGAAUGAUAAAGAUACAAAUAUUUCCAACUUUUACAACAAAGCUCAAGAACCUGUUUAUCUUCUUCUGGUUCUCACAACAUAUUGAACUGGGGUAUACUGAGGUACAAAUAUCCAAACCUCGCGUGCUUUUGAAGUAAAAACAUAGAGCUCGCGCUGAUUAGAUGGACAUGAUAAGCUGCCAUUUGACUAUUCUGGUGAUGGGAUGGACAUGAUAAGGUGCCAUUUGACUAUUCUGUUCUAUGCCGGUCUUUAGGAUUGCUGUACAUGGGUAACAACAACAUGGGACCGUGUUUCCGUCUCCCAUAACAUCGCCAAUAUACCACAAAUAUUACAGCCAUUACAAACACAGGGAUUGCCCACCUGUCCAGAUCAAGGAUUGGACUAUACACGAGCGUUUCCCAAGUAGCUACAAUAAAAUGCCACAUUGGAUUAUAGUAAAGUGACUCUGCAGACCAAAACAUUCUUGUAUAUGUUUCUAAGAAAAUAAAAAGUAUCCAUGCGCCAAUCUCGACCAAAAUAAACUUUAUGACGAACCGCCCGACCACCACCAUGAACAGUGAGAAAGCCACCAACCAAUUAAAGAGUCUGUGAUUAUAGUCCUUGAUGAAUGAAGACUUUGACUUCUCUAACAUCUUCAUCAUCCGCUUCUCAUAGUUGAUUUUAGAAGGUCCGACACAUUCACCGUGAAAGCUUUGGUUACACUGGAUGAAGCCAGCAUUGAACUUUGCCAUUGAAGGAAGUCUGAGGACCUGAAGAUUGUCCAUUUUGUCCUCACAUCUAGUAUACAAAGCCUCACACAGCUUUGAGGAUUGAUAUUCAUUCGCCAGCAUUAUAUUCUUGUACACCUUUUCGAUCUCUUCAUCCAAUUUAUCAACUGAUUUUUUUGCAUGAUGACGACCAAAAUGCUGUUCAUCAAAGACAUUCAUCGCUGCCUGUCUGUUCUCUACAUGAGCCUUUUGCAAAGACUCCCCAGGCAUUGGCAAAACCAACUUAGCCAUCCUCUCAUUGUAGAGUUUUAGACACCGCUCCAGGAUACCCUUGUUGAAGACUUCCACAAGGGACCCUGUGGAUGGAAUCUCCCCUUUAUUCAAUGCAUCAAGAAUCUGCUCAAGGAAAGAUACG